UGAGCAUUGUCUCGGACUUGAGAAGGGCAAGCUGAGUGUGGGGAACUGGGAACUGGGAGCGUGAAGACUGCGGUAGUGUGGCGGGGCGGGGUGAUUUAGUACCAUAGGCUGGGGAUGGAGAAGGGGCUGCUAAUGGGUGGGUGCAGCAGGUGCAGUCCGGUGUUGCGAGUGAGCACUGGUAGGGAGCUUUAGGGUCAUUUGCGUUACUUGAGCAAUUCCUCUUCUUACUCUGAGCAGGCUUCGCCAAGCCAAAGCACUUGGCGAGAGUAGUGCCUCAUUCUUCAUCCCUGGAGGUCAAUGUCUGUCCAGGCGCACACGCCCAUUACAUACAACUUUAGGAAAAGACUAGUGAUCCUACGAAAGCGAGUGUAAUUGGAAAAAAGAAAAAUCCAAAAGAUCAUAACUUUGGACACUUUGGAGCAUCUUAGACUUGCCUUUGUCUUUAUUGACUAUGCUUGUUCCUCUGCUAUAGUAGCAGCAUUUAGUGGUAGAAGGACCUCUGAGCCUAGCCCUGCCUCGCACACUCCAAGAAUACUGUGCUCGCUGCCUGAUACCAAAGACUCCUUUCACCCUGUGAUUGGCUUUUGUUCCUCCUGAGUGAUGGGGUGGGUGUGGCAGGCCGCAGUGUGUGAACUGUGUUGCCGGCAGAGUGAGGGUGGAGUCCUGGGGGCGGGUCUGUCAGGGAAACAAAGGAGUUCACAAAAGCGUGGGAUGUAUUCCACAACUGAGUGUUUAAAAGCCAGUCAGGCGCUGUCCUUCCAGUAUUUAGUUCAUCCGUUGUUAGAAAAGAAGGUUCUGAGAACCUUCGACGCCUAGAGCAUUCUUACCUUCAUUUGCAGUGACUAAGAGGUCCCAGCCUUGGUGCUGCGGAUGGAGAGGAGGGGGACACGCCUAAAAACUGCAGCGCGGUGAGCUAGCCAGAGACCACCGCAGACUCAGGCGCACUCACAUCAGCGCGUGCGCAGACGCGAUGCAUCAGCUCUCCCUUCAAACCCGCAUUUUCUAGGUAUUCGAGGAAGAAACUGAUCCCUUUGUGAGCGUAUGUGAAAUAAACCUGUGUGCUCUGAGGGAGAGAAGAAGAAGGGUGUCAGAGUAUGUUCCCUGCUAUCCCAGGUUGAAGGUCACUGCUUCCCUACGCGGGGCUAGUGGUUUAGGAGGUGAUGUGACCCCUUUUAUUCUCUAAGGAGUGAGGCCCAAGUGACUCAGGGUCACACUAUAGGGUAGAGCUCGCAGCUGUUGAGCGAGGGAGGACCUGCUAGAACCAUCUGAAGCUGUCAUCGCCUCUCCUUUCCGCAAGGGGUGUGGGGGCAGGGCGGGCUUUAAACUGAAUUCUAAUGUACCAUGAGAAGCAGCCUAGAACAAAAGCCUUGCCGCCUGUGAUUGCCAGGGUGUCCAGACUGGAUCUCUAUGGCCAGAGUUCGCCAGAUACGGUUGCAGGUGUUCAGUUCAGGGUGGAUUGAGAAGAGAGAGGCAAGAACAGUGAAGGUGUGCCCACGUGCCCAGUAACAGGGUUCCAAGGACACAGGCCCUGAAUUUUGAAUUUUCUCACCUGUCUUAAUACAGAUGUAGAAGCAUGAAGAGAGAAUACUUCCCAAGGUCACACAGCGAGUUAAUGACAGGGCUCCGACUGUCUCAAGGGCGCCCAAGCUUUCAGGAUUCUUCAACCUGGAGCACAGAGAAGCACAGAAUUGUUCACAGUGCAGCCUAGUAAACUGCAUUUCCAUAGUACAGAGUCGUCCUGGGAAGAAUACAAGAACCAGAAGUACUCAAACGGAGGCAUGCUAGAACUCAGACAGCCUGCCUGCGUAAGGUGCAGUCUGUGAAAGCCGUCAGUGUGAAAAUGGAUCCAUUUUUAAAUGUGUGCCAAAAAGUGAAAAAAGAGGAGGAGAAUUGAGAACAGGAUCCCAAAGAGUUGUCUGUUCAGACACGCAUGUUCAUGGUGGCGUAGUCCACAAGAACCAAAGGACGAAAGCACCUUGAGUGGUCAUGGAAGCAAAUUCACCAGCAGCAGAAUAGGAAAAGACUUGUCAGAAAGGGCCAGCUGCAGAGCCACGCAGCCUUACAAGCAGGGACGUGAAGAAACCGGAUUUGUUAUGGCCAACAGAGAGACACUGCAAACCCCAGAUUGUGCCUCAUGGCAAGAAAACUCACGACAGCUGCUCCGUUGUUCUCCCUGUAGCAGACAGUGAACCACGCCAGCCUGUGUGGGGAGUGGAGGAAACCCUGAGCAUGUGAAGUCCUGAGUGGAUGUGUGUAGACAUGAGCUGGCCAUGUCAAGGACCCCAGUGUCUCAGUCCCAUGGGAGUGGCAAAGUCUUACCUGGGUGACGCUCAGGGAAAUGCCAGACUUUCCCCCUGGUCCAUGUGUGGAUGUUGGCAAUGUGUGCAGAAAAUAUCUCCCAAAGCUUUGCCACCACACAGUGUUAAUUGCCUGAAGACUGCUCCCCUACAGAGACUACACCUACAGAGAUGAGCAAAACCUGCCUUCUUGAUUCAGCUGUAUAUCAUAAAUCCUGCCUCCAGAUUCAGCUAAUAUGCAAUUACCCCACCUCUGUCUUCAACUGUAUAUAACAAGCACAAUGUGUUUCUAGGUUGCUGCAGCUAGUCCAUCAAGAAAUCCAGUCCACCUGAUCCCAACUCUUCUGUCUACAUGUCUGUCAUUUCAUCAGUCUGUCUUCUUCAUUCCCUCAAUGCCCCAGUGAGACCCAAUUCUGGGAGCUAUGCAAUGAUGUAGCAAGCCUGGGAAUGAAAUGAAUACAAUUUUACCAGAGACUUUCAGAGAGAGUCUUUCUACCUUCUCUGCUACUGGUGGGAAGGAUACAUAAACUCUGCCCAUCAUCCACAGAAGUGAUGUGUCACAGUUCUAAGUCACUCUUUUGCUAUGGAAGUGUGGUAGCACAAAAGGUUGAUGGAUGGGCCCCAGUGUGGUUCUCGGUUGUCUGGAUCAAAAUGUGCCUAGAACAUGGGCUCAGGAAACUUGAGCAAUAAACUCAAGAAAGCUCUUCCCUCUUACAAUGAUGAAUGGGAAAAGUAACUUGUGUUGGAGACCCUGGCCUUUUGCCAGUGUCCAACGGGGAAGGAUAUUUAUGGAGUCCUCAACAUAGUGGGUUCCCAGGCCUCUCUAACAUUUUUGUUCCCAGAAUUCCUGCUGGGCUUCUCUACUUAGAGAGAUGUGCAUGAGUGACUUGGGCUUUCAUGGGGUCACUGUCUGUGGCUUCUAUUCCUGGGGAAGUUGAAUGAUAAAGUCAGGUGUUGUGCUUCUGACAGGAAGCCUUCUUCCCACCUAGCACUGGAGGAUUCUUUGGAUCAUCUUUUGAAAGACUCAUAUUGAAUGUCUCCAGGCUCUGGACAUGCCCCUGUUCUCACAGUUGCUUACAACUGUUCACAGGCCCUCCCCGGUUUUCAGUGUGACAGGAGUGUCCUACUGCAGCAUCUCUGUUUGCUGCUAUUUGGAUACAGUUUGAAUGUGUGCUCCAAAGGUUCAUGUGCCAAAUGCCUGAUAUUCAGGUGAGGGAAUCUUUAAGGGAUGAGGCCUGGUGUAAAUUGAGUAGUCACUGGGAGCCUGGAACACAGAAGAGAUUAAUUCUCUAGGGACCCCAGUUAAUUCCCCUGAGCACAAGUUGUAAUAUAUGAGCCUAGCCCUUGAAGCUCUCGGGUUUCCUGUGUUAUCAGCUGAUCAUAUUCCCAACAAGGUGUCACUAGCUAUGCUAUUUACUCAGAGAGUCCUCACUAGAGCUGUUCAGUUGCAGGCAGUAUAUUCUCAGACCUCCAGACUGUGAGCUAAAUAAACCUCUUCUCUGAAUAAAACGCCCAGCCAUUUUAUAGACAGAAAAUAAACCAA